UAGCCUUCCGAAAGGAAGAUUAAUACCGCAUAACAUGUUUUUAUCGCAUGGUAGAAACAUCAAAGGAGCAAUCCGCUAUAAGAUGGACCCGCGGCGCAUUAGCUAGUUGGUGAGGUAACGGCCCACCAAGGCGACGAUGCGUAGCCGACCUGAGAGGGUGAUCGGCCACAUUGGAACUGAGACACGGUCCAGACUCCUACGGGAGGCAGCAGUGGGGAAUAUUGCGCAAUGGGGGAAACCCUGACGCAGCAACGCCGCGUGAAUGAAGAAGGCCUUAGGGUUGUAAAGUUCUGUUUUCUGGGACGAUAAUGACGGUACCAGAGGAGGAAGCCACGGCUAACUACGUGCCAGCAGCCGCGGUAAUACGUAGGUGGCAAGCGUUGUCCGGAUUUACUGGGCGUAAAGGAUGCGUAGGCGGAUGUUUAAGUGAGAUGUGAAAUACCCGGGCUCAACUUGGGUGCUGCAUUUCAAACUGAAUAUCUAGAGUGCAGGAGAGGAAAGCGGAAUUCCUAGUGUAGCGGUGAAAUGCGUAGAGAUUAGGAAGAACACCAGUGGCGAAGGCGGCUUUCUGGACUGUAACUGACGCUGAGGCAUGAAAGCGUGGGGAGCAAACAGGAUUAGAUACCCUGGUAGUCCACGC
rnacentral:rRNA from 1 species